rnacentral:rRNA from 1 species
UACGUAGGGCGCGAGCGUUGUCCGGAAUUAUUGGGCGUAAAGAGCUCGUAGGCGGCCUGUCGCGUCGGUUGUGAAAGCCCGGGGCUCAACCCCGGGUCUGCAGUCGAUACGGGCAGGCUAGAGUUCGGUAGGGGAGAUCGGAAUUCCUGGUGUAGCGGUGAAAUGCGCAGAUAUCAGGAGGAACACCGGUGGCGAAGGCGGGUCUCUGGGCCGAUACUGACGCUGAGGAGCGAAAGCAUGGGGAGCGAACAGG